AAAUAAUUUACCACAUAUGUUGUAAUUGUUUUGAUUGUACACUAACCAUCAGUAGCUCUGAUUCAAUUGUUCUGCUUCAAUUGUUGUGAAUCCAUUCCUGUUCCUUCCUUUCCAGUGUUUUCUCUCUGUCCUCAUUGAAAUUCUGUUCAUUCUCCUGUUAUUUAGAUUAUUUCAUUUCAGCUUCUUGAAUGCCAUAUUUUACUUAGCUCAGUCUAUUAGCAAUUCAUGGAAACAACAGUGUAUCAUUUUAGAGAUAACUGACAGCUGUUACAAUGGGAAUUCGUAUGCUCAGAGCAACAGUUUGAAGGUAAGUGGAAUAAUUUGAAUAUCCAAAUAAGGCAAAACACAAUCUAUAUAUGCAUCACUAAAAUUAUUUCUAGAGAUGUCCAGACUCAUAUGAUUAACUAAAUACUUAAAGUAUAAAUUUUAAAACUGUGUUCCUUUCAUUCUAGAGCAUUGGUUAUUCCUUGCAAGUUGUUUGAAUUUACUUUCUGAAAUGAAAAGCUAAAGCUGAGUUAACACUGGAAAAUAAAUCAAUAUAAUUCACCACCUUAACAGAUUAAAGGGAAGAAGGAAACUAAAUGUUGCCAUCUCAAUAGAUCCAGAAAAAUAAUUUGAUUAAAGACAUCAUUCAUUCGUGAUGAAACAACUUGUAGAAAAUUAGGAGUGGAUGAGACUGUCCAAGAGAGUUUUAGAUAUAAUUUUGGACACAACCGAAUCUUUCCCGGAAGAAGGCAUGUAUUAGAGAAGAUAGCAGUGGGAGGAACUACCAUACUUCUCAGCUUAUGACAGGAAUACAGGAUUGUAAAGAGAAGAGUGCUGCAAUGAACGUACAUGUGCAUGUGUCUUUAUAAUGGAACAAUUUAUAUUCUUUUGGGUAUAUACCCAGUAAUGGGAUUGCCUGGUCAAAUAGUAUUUCUGUCUUUAGGUCUUUAAGGAAUUGCAACACUGUCUUCCACAAUGGUUGAACUAAGUGACACUCUCACCAACAGUGUAUAAGUGUUCCUUUUCCUCUACAACCUCACCAGCAUCUGUUGUUUUUUUACUUUUUGAUAAUAGCCAUUCUGACUGGUGGGAGAUAAUCUCAUUGUGGUUUUGAUUUGCAUUUCUCAAAUGCAGCCAUACAAAAUAACAAGAUCAUGUCCUUUGGAGGGACAUGGAUGGAGCUGGAGGCUAUUAUCCUAGCAAACUAAUGCAGGAAAAGAAAAUCAAAUACCGUAUGUUCUCAUUUAUAAGUGGAAGCUAAAUGAUGAGAACUCAUGAACACAAAGAAGGGUAUAAUAGACAGGGGUCUACUUGAGGGUGG
rnacentral:lncRNA from 10 species